UGGGGAAUAUUGCACAAUGGGCGCAAGCCUGAUGCAGCAACGCCGCGUGAGGGACGACGGCCUUCGGGUUGUAAACCUCUUUUAGUAGGGAAGAAGCGAAAGUGACGGUACCUGCAGAAAAAGCACCGGCUAACUACGUGCCAGCAGCCGCGGUAAUACGUAGGGUGCAAGCGUUGUCCGGAAUUAUUGGGCGUAAAGAGCUCGUAGGCGGUUUGUCGCGUCUGCUGUGAAAAACCCGAGGCUCAACCUCGGGCCUGCAGUGGGUACGGGCAGACUAGAGUGCGGUAGGGGAGAAUGGAAUUCCUGGUGUAGCGGUGGAAUGCGCAGAUAUCAGGAGGAACACCGAUGGCGAAGGCAGUUCUCUGGGCCGUAACUGACGCUGAGGAGCGAAAGCGUGGGGAGCGAACAGGAUUAGAUCAGCCCUGGUAGUCCAACGCCGUGAAACGUUCGGGCGCUAGAUGUGGGGGACCAUUCCACGGUUUCCGUGUCGCAGCUAACGCAUUAAGCGCCCCGCCUGGGGAGUACGGCCGCAAGGCUAAAACUCAAAUGAAUU
rnacentral:rRNA from 1 species